rnacentral:rRNA from 1 species
GAUGAACGCUAGCGGCAGGCCUAACACAUGCAAGUCGAGUGAGAAGCCCUUUCGGGGGCAGAAACCGGCGCACGGGUGCGUAACGCGUAUGCAACCUACCUUUCACAGGGGGAUAGCCCGAAGAAAUUUGGAUUAAUACCCCAUAAUAUUAUUGGAUGGCAUCAUUUGAUAAUUAAAACUGCGGUGGUGAAAGAUGGGCAUGCGUCCUAUUAGCUAGUUGGAGUGGUAACGGCACCCCAAGGCUACGAUAGGUAGGGGUCCUGAGAGGGAGAUCCCCCACACUGGUACUGAGACAGGGACCAGACUCCUACGGGAGGCAGCAGUGAGGAAUAUUGGUAAAUGGUCGGAAGACUGAACCAGCCAUGCCGCGUGCAGGAAGAAUGCCUUAUGGGUUGUAAACUGCUUUUAUAUGGGAAGAAUAAGGCGUACGUGUACGUUGAUGACGGUACCAUAUGAAUAAGCAUCGGCUAACUCCGUG